rnacentral:lncRNA from 1 species
AUGGGGUCAUUGUGCGCCCGGCCCUCGCCCGCGGCCCCGGCGGCCCGGCCCGGGCAGCUGCUGAGCCCGACCCGACCCGUCUGCUCCCCCCUUGGGCCAGCGCCGGGCAUGGGGGGCCUGGCCGCCGUGGGGUCCGGUGCAGGGGGGGCUCCGCGUGCCCCCUGCCGCCCUCCUCCCCGUCCCUCCUGGCCCUGCCAGCUCUGCUCGCCAUCCCCUCCGCCACGCGGUGCCUGGCCCAUGACGGCACCCGGUGCCAGGCUGGCUCUGCCCCUGCUCCUGCUCCUGCUCCUGCUCCUGCUCCUGCCCCUGCUCCUGCCCCGCCGCCCCCUCCCUUCCCCGGCCAGGCAGCGCCGGCAGCUGCUGCGGGGCGUAAUGACAGGGUGCGCCUGCCCCGGGGUGGAGAGCGGCAGGCAGGCGGGGAGGGAGGCAGGGAGGGAGGCAGGGAGGGAGGGAGGCUGCUGCCACCCAGCAAGACGGGGCCAGCCGGGCGCGGAGCUUCCCUGCCUCCAGCCGGCGCGGCCACACCUGCGUGGGCCGCGCGGACCGUGCUCCCACCCGCGCCCGGCCGAACCAGCUCCUUCGCGUCCCUGCUCCCAGCGGACAGGCCGCUGCAGGCAAGGCCCCCCCAGGGCCUGGCAGGAGCUGGGCACCGGGGAGCGCCCGGCACGGCGGGGGGACGCGAGGGGCUGGGAGCUGGCCCYGUCCCAGCUGCGCCUUGCACCCGCUGCCUUGGCCCCAGGGCGGCCGCGGGCGGUUGCUGCUGCAGCCCCCUUCGCCCCCCGGACGCGCCCCGGGUUGCUGGGAGGCAGCGGGGCACCGCGGGGGCUGCCGGCCCUGCUUGCCCCUGGUGGGGCUGCUGCUUUCUGGCUGUGCCGGGAUCGGGGUGUUCGUGCCGCUGCAGGAUGUUCCCGGCCUCGCUCUCCCCUUCGUGGCUCCCCCCCCCCAGGCCCCACGUCCUGUCUGGCCCCGGCCCCGAGCGGGGCACCGAGCCCCGGCCGCUGUCAGCACCCAGCCGCGAGGCGCCGGCCGGCCCGGGCACCCCAAGGGCACGGCCUGCUGCCGGGGCGGGCCGUGAAACGGCCCUGCCGGAUCACGCGGGCCGCCGGCAGGGCGUGA